rnacentral:rRNA from 1 species
GACGAACGCUGGCGGCGUGCUUAACACAUGCAAGUCGAACGGAAAGGCCUCGUUCUUGUGGUACUCGAGUGGCGAACGGGUGAGUAACACGUGAGUGACCUGCCCUUGACUUUGGGAGAACUUCAGGAAACUGGGGCGAAUACCGGAUAGAAGCGCCUGCGGCGUGUGGUGGGGUGGAGAGUUUCUGCGGUUUGGGAUGGACUCGCGGCGUAUCAGCGUGUUGGUGGGGUAGUGGCGUACCAAGGCCUUGACGGGUAGCCGGCCUGAGAGGGUGACCGGCCACAUUGGGACUGAGAUACGGCCCAGACUCCUACGGGAGGCAGCAGUGGGGAAUAUUGCCAAAUGGGUGGAAGCCUGAUGCAGCAACGCCGGGUGCGGGAUGACGGCCUUCGGGUUGUAAACCGCUUUCGCUCAUGACGAAGCUUUGUGUGACGGUAGUGGGUAAAGAAGCACCGGCUAACUACGUG